rnacentral:rRNA from 1 species
CCUACGGGAGGCAGCAGUGAGGAAUAUUGGUCAAUGGGCGAGAGCCUGAACCAGCCAAGUCGCGUGAGGGAGUACUGCCCUAUGGGUUGUAAACCUCUUUUGUCAGGGAAGAGUAGAAGACGGUACCUGACGAAUAAGCCACGGCUAACUACGUGCCAGCAGCCGCGGUAAUACGUAGGUGGCAAGCGUUGUCCGGAUUUACUGGGUGUAAAGGGCGUGUAGCCGGGUUGACAAGUCAGAUGUGAAAUCCUGCGGCUUAACCGCAGAACUGCAUUUGAAACUGUUGAUCUUGAGUACUGGAGAGGCAGAUGGAAUUCCUAGUGUAGCGGUGAAAUGCGUAGAUAUUAGGAGGAACUCCGAUUGCGAAGGCAGCUUACUAAACUGCCACUGACAUUGAUGCUCGAAAGUGUGGGUAUCAAACAGGAUUAGAUACCCUAGUAGUC